rnacentral:rRNA from 1 species
UGGGGAAUCUUCCGCAAUGGACGAAAGUCUGACGGAGCAACGCCGCGUGAGUGAAGAAGGUUUUCGGAUCGUAAAACUCUGUCUUUUGGGGCGAACGUGAGUAUGGUGAACAAUCAUAGUCAGUGACGGUACCAAAGGAGGAAGCCACGGCUAACUACGUGCCAGCAGCCGCGGUAAUACGUAGGUGGCAAGCGUUGUCCGGAAUUAUUGGGCGUAAAGAGCGCGUAGGCGGGAUAGUCAGUCUGUUGUAAAAGUGCGGGGCUCAACCCCGUGAUGGCAAUGGAAACAGCUAUUCUUGAGUGCAGGAGAGGAAAGUGGAAUUCCCAGUGUAGCGGUGAAAUGCGUAGAUAUUGGGAGGAACACCAGUGGCGAAGGCGACUUUCUGGACUGUGUCUGACGCUGAGGCGCGAAAGCCAGGGGAGCGAACGGGAUUAGAUACCCCGGUAGUCCUGGCCGUAAACGAUGGGUACUAGGUGUGGGGGGUAUCGACCCCUUCCGUGCCGGAGUUAACGCAAUAAGUACCCCGCCUGGGGAGUACGGUCGCAAGACUGAAACUCAAAGGAAUUGAC